rnacentral:lncRNA from 1 species
GAGAUAGGGUCUUGCUCUGUCUCCCAGGCUGGAGUGCAGGGGCACAAUCAUGGCUCACUGCAGCCUUCCCCUCCUAGGCUUAAGCAAUCCUCCCACCUCAGCCUCCGGAGUAGCUGGGACUACAAGGCACAUACUGCCACACCCAGCUAAUCUUCUGUUAUUUUUUGUAGAGCUGGGAUCUCACUCUGUUGCCCAGGCUGGAUUCUAACUCCUAGACUCAAGCAACCCUUCUGCCUCAGUCUCCCAAAGUGCUAGAAUUACAGGCGUGAGCCACCACACCUAGUCUCAAACUUACCUAUUUUUUAAUUCAGUUGUUAGCUUUCUUAUUCUUGAGUUCUGAGCUUUUUAUAUUUAUAUAUUCUGGAUACAAGUCCUUUAUCAGUUGGGUGAGCGGAAAAUACUUUCUACCAAUGUGUAGCUUCCGUUAAUAUUUUCUCCCAGUGAACCACAGUGUAUUGUUGGUGGGAAUGUGAAUUAGCACAGCCAUUAUGGAAAACAGUAUUGAGGUUUCCCCCAAAAUUAAAAAUAGAGCUAUCAUAUAAUCUAGCUGGGACAGCUUUGAAAUGAUUCCAAACAUUCACAUAAUUUGCUGCAUUGGUGACAUAUGUUUUGCUAAGAUAAAAACAUGGAGUAUAAUGCCCUUCCCCAUGACAAUGUUACAUCACCCCUUAUCAGACCACAUAUGUGAGUUACUGAUCUCAACUACUGGACUCCAAAACACAUGUAAACCCAAGAGCUUUUUUUUUUUUUCCCACUGUGUCACCCAGGCUGGAGCACAGUGACACAAUCAUAGCUCACUGCAUCCUCAAACUCAAGUGAUCCUCCUGCCUCAGUCUCCUGAGUAGCUGGGACUAUGGCCAUGCACCACCACACCCAGCUAAUCUUUAUAUUUUUUACAGAGAUGGGGUCUCACUAAGUUGCUCAGGUUGAUCUCGAACUCCUGCCAACAAGUAAUCUUCCUGCCUUGGCCUCCGAAAGUGCUGGGAUUACAGGUGUGAACCACCCAUGCCUGACCUAACCCCAGGACUUUGACAAGACACACUGAGACCUCAGGAUGCAGCAGGACUACUCUUUGUCAGCCUUCAAGCUGUUCUCCAAAGUCUCACCUGCCAAUACCUGCACCACUCACUAGUGUACAAGGACUUGUGUGGUCAAACCAUCUCUCCUGAGAAGCUCCCAUAGAAAAGUACAUAUCGAACUGUGAUUAGACUUUACUUCCACUGAGGCCUGAUUCUAUCUUAAUUGAGCUACCAGAAUUCAUCAAUUGGACUCUAAAUAAAAUGGAACUCACUGUGUCUAUCGAGUGUAUUCCCUACAAGAUUUUUUCUCAUUUUCUCCCCGUUUGAGCAUUGUAGGGAAGCAGGGAAGAGAAUCUCUUUGUAUGGUAAUACACCGUGCGAUUAUUGAAAUCAUACUUUGGCCAUUUCCUUAUUUUAACCAUACAAACCAUGAGCAAUCCUGAAACUGGGUAUAUACAGAAAGGAAAGGAAAUUAGUGUGUUGAAGAGAUAUCUGUGCUCUCAUGUUCAUUACAGAACUAGUCACAGCAGCCAAGUUAUGGAAUCAACCAAAAUGUCCAUCAACAGAUAAAUGAAAAUGUGGUACAUAUGCACAAUGGAAUACUAUUCAGCCUUAAAAAAGAAGGAAAUCCUGUCAUUUGUGACAACAUGGAUGAGCUUGGAGGACAUUAUGCUAAGUGAAAUGAACCAGGCAUGUAAGGACAAAUGACCUAUGAUCUCAAUUAUGUGCAGAUUUGAUAAACAAUCAAGUUCACAGAAGCAGAGAAUAGUAGAACGGUGGUUAUCAGCAGCUGGGGUGAGGAAAAUGGUGAGAUGUAGGUCAAACGGCACAAAGUUUUAGUAAGGAGGAGUAAGUCUCUUGAGAUCUGUUUGACAGAAUGGUGACUACAGUUAAUAAUUUGCUGUUCAUACAGUUAAUAUACUGUACAUUUCAAAAUUGCUGAAAGUAAAUUUCAAGUGUUCUUACCACACACAAAAACAAUCAUGUUGUACAUCACAAAUAUAUACAAUUUUUAUUUGUAAAUUUAAAAAUAUUAAACAAUUUUCUUCCAGUGUGUGGCAAUCCAUUAAUAGUAUCAUUAGAGGAACUGACUUUCUUGAUUUUGAUGAUGUGCAAUUUCCAUUUUUAAAAAUGGAUUAUAGUAUUGGUGUUAAAAUGAAGAACUAAGGUUUGUUUUUCUGUUUUUAUUUAAAUAAUUUCCACUUUGAUCUGUAUUAUCGUUUUUGGGUUUGUUUGUUUGAGACAGGGUCUCACUCUGUCACCUAGGCUGGAGUGCAGUGGCAUGAUCAUAGCUCACUGUGACCUCCAACCACUGGGCUCAAGUCAUCCCCCAUCUCAACCUCCUGAGUGGCUAGGACUACACACCUGCACCACCAUGCCCAACUAAUUUUCUAAAAUUGUUUUAUAGAGGUGAGGUCUUCCUAUGUUGCCCAAGCUGGUCUCAAACUCCUGGCCUCUAGUGAUCCUUCAGCCUCAGUCUCCCAAAGCACUGGGCCAUAUUAUAUAGUUUUUUUAAGAUGAGAGGUGAGGCCACUGAUUUGAGACCUUUUUUUCUUUUCUAAUAUAGGCAUUUUGUGUUAUAAAUUUCCCUCUAAGUACUGUUUUAGCGUGUCUCACAAAUUUUGAUAUGUUUUAAUUUUCAUUUAGUUCAAAACAAUUUUUUUUUUUUUGGAGACAGAGUCUUGCUUUGUCACCCAGGCUGGGGUGCAGUGGCGUGAUCUCAGUUCACUGCAACCUCUGCCUCUC